CGCAAAACAAUUAAAUGGUAAGGUACUUCCCCCCUGGUUUCCUCUGCAUGUUAUCAACACUGAUCUCUAUAAUAGGUCAAUGAUUCAAUGAAUGCGUAUUUUGUAGCGAGAUUUUGUAGUGGUUCAGUUGAAAGAUCUUUAAGUUUUCUAUAUAUUUCUGAUCGGAUUUUACAGAAUCAACAGUGAAAACGAGUGUGGAACAUAACGUGUUUGUAUUUUGAACGUUUCUGGAGGCAAAACAGAGCGCAAAUGUGAGUAGAAAUGUAGAUUCGGAAUGUAUGUUAAUUUUUGCAUCGACGCACGUGGUGGUAUCAGCCACAAGCCUAGUCUGUUUUCUUUUCUAAAGAUUAAAAAUCAUUAAACGCAUUGCUGAUUAUUGCAAAAUAUUUAAAAACAUUGCAGAUUCUUGCAAAAU